GAUGAACGCUGGCGGCGUGCCUAAUACAUGCAAGUCGAGCGAACAGACGAGGAGCUUGCUCCUCUGACGUUAGCGGCGGACGGGUGAGUAACACGUGGAUAACCUACCUAUAAGACUGGGAUAACUUCGGGAAACCGGAGCUAAUACCGGAUAAUAUAUUGAACCGCAUGGUUCAAUAGUGAAAGACGGUUUUGCUGUCACUUAUAGAUGGAUCCGCGCCGCAUUAGCUAGUUGGUAAGGUAACGGCUUACCAAGGCAACGAUGCGUAGCCGACCUGAGAGGGUGAUAGGCCACACUGGAACUGAGACACGGUCCAGACUCCUACGGGAGGCAGCAGUAGGGAAUCUUACGCAAUGGGCGAAAGCUUGACGGAGCAACGCCGCGUGAGUGAUGAAGGUCUUCGGAUCGUAAAACUCUGUUAUUAGGGAAGAACAAAUGUGUAAGUAACUAUGCACGUCUUGACGGUACCUAAUCAGAAAGCCACGGCUAACUACGUG
rnacentral:rRNA from 1 species